AGACUCAGAACCGCGACAAAAGAUCUCAAUGCCCGUCAUUUCAUGACUUGAAAAUCCCUCCUGAAUGGGAUGUUCUAUGGUCCAGACCAUUGUUUCGAGGUGGAUUUGGAUUAGAGGACGUACGAUCGUGGCUGAAACACACACUUGCGACGACGGUGGGUGAACAGACGCAAAUCCCAGCGGACUCGCAGAGAGGCAAUACCUGAGUUUACCUGCAACGUAGCACCACCAACACCAAACCAACACCAUUGCGAUUCAGCCUCGCGGGAGCGACAGAGAGAAGGCAAUCGAACACGUAACACGGCCACAAGAGAUCACCUUUCGAAGGUGUGGAGGAGACAGAGAAAGAAAGAGCAUUGGCUCCCAAGAAUGCCCAUAUACACGAUCAUCGUACACUGUUAAGCCCAAACGCAUGAAAAUAUCUAACGAAAAACCGAAACUUUUCACUCUCCGUCAAAAACCCAUCCCAACCAUCAAGUCUCGACACGUGCACGCUGCCGGACAACAGCGAAAUGAAAAGUAUUAGAAGUGUAUUGCAAGCACUAAACUACGCGAUCUUGUCGAUUUGACUCAUGGUGCACACAAAACAAUUACAGUGUGGCUCGAGGAUGCUGCGAGUAGAAAAAGUCAAGCAUGAUGAAAAUAAAACGAUCACCAUUAACAAUACACAGCCGCAAGAAAUGGAAGAGUUAAGGAGGCUCAAAUCAAAAUCUCUCGCGGGGAAACUUUGCAGUGGCGUCAAUUUUUCCCAUGUGCAAGAAUUUAAGUCGUGUUGCGUAAGUGGUAUAUUU